rnacentral:rRNA from 1 species
GGGGGGGGGGGGGGGGGGGGGGGGGGGGGGGGGGGGGGGGGGGGGGGGGGGGUGUGGGGGGGGCGCGGGUGGCGCACGGGUGGGGGACGCGUGAGGAACGGGCCCUUGGCUUUGGGGUACCUUCAGGGAACGGGGGCUACUACCGGAGAGGAGCUCCUGCUGCAUGGUGGGGGUUGGAAAGUUUCGGCGGUUGGGGCUGGACUCGCGGCUUACCAGCUUGUUGGCGGGGUCGUGGCUUAGCAAGGCUUUGUCGGGUCGCCUGCCUGAGAGGGUGACCGGCCACAUUGGGAAUGAGAUACGGCCCAGACGCCUACGGGAGGCAGCAGUGGGGAAUAUUGCACAAUGGGCGGGAGCCUGAUGAAGCAACGCCGCGUGCGGGAGGACGGCCUUCGGGUUGUAAACCGCUUUCGCCUGUGACGAAGCGUGAGUGACGGUAAUGGGUAAAGAAGCACCGGCUAACUACGUG